AAAACUCCACAAGGCAAAGUUCAUCAUUGGAGAAUGGUUCUCUUGCAGUGAAGAUUUGCUUCAUUCUUCAACUGCUAGGAAGUGAGUGUGAAACGCCCAUGACAGGGAAAAAGUUUCCGAAGGUCGUCGUGAAACCCCCUCUGGCAAUCCCUGGGCUGCGGACUCUCAACUCUCGUUCAGAAUGUGACGUGGAGAGUGGAUGGUGCCCAUGACUGAUCUGGAGACCUUCGACAUGAUGUCCAGGGAAAUAAAUGACAAACAGGAUGCAAGACUGAAUGACACAAUGAUUAAGCUUGGAAUUGAUUGCAAAACAGUCUGGUGUUAGGAGGCCCCUGAUUUGAAGACCUGCUUGUUUCCAAGACUAUGGACAGCUACCAUCGAUGAAACCCAGUCCGUGGGCUCAGAGACGGGGCAGAUGACUCCUUUGCUUGUCAUGUUAUCAAGUUCAGCUUUAACGCGGGCCUGCAUCGCCAAGGGGACACGGUGCGCUGGACGCACGACUGGCUGUACAGCUGGAUCUACUACCAUGGAGUAGGUGAUUGGCAGUUCUCCUAAUUCAUCGCUGAACACAUCUUUGUAUUUCUCUUUGAUAUUUUUGACAAAGUCUGUAAUAGUCUCCGUACCGACCUGGUGGACGUGAGGGCUGAAUGUGACAAGUCCGAGACGCAUACAUGCACGAAAUCCCAAAAGUGGAAUAACAUCACGCUCCACGAGGAAGAAGGGUAGCGUGUGUUGCUGUUCAUCCAAGUAGCAUGACAGUGAGACAAGACCUGCAGUUUCGAUCUUGCUGCCGCCAUAAGCCACUAGAUUUGUAGACUUGCCACAGGGAAUAAUGUUCCCCUCAGAGAGUUGUACAAACAUGUCCUUAGCCAUUACAUUACAUCUCGCUCCGGUGUCAAUCUUCAUUUCGAUGGGUUUCCCGUGCACAUGCAGAGUGACAAACCCUUCAUCUCUAUUUUUCAUAUGUGCAUUGAUAGUGUCCACAGAAAUUCCAUCUACAUAGUAUGUAUCAUCAUCAGCGGUGUAUUCUUUCUCUUGCUCGACCUUCACGUGAUACACUGGUCUUCUAGUGGAGCUUUUCUUUGUGAAACUCUUUCUUUCUGUGUUGUGAUACGCUGGCUUUGACUUGCAGCAAUCCUUGAAAUGAUUCAUCUUUCCACAUUUGUGACAUUUCAAGCCAAACGCUGGACAUUUAUCCCUUUGCGCUGGGUGGCUGCCUCCACAAUGAUUACAAGUAGUGAUGUUCUUUGAAUCAUUGAUUUGCUUUCUUAUUUCUUGACCUGUACUGCCCUCUACUGGAGCUUUGUUGUAGCGCAUCCACAGGGUUUACUUGCAGAGUUAAUGCUUUUGUGUUUUCCUCGGUCAUUUCAUAAAUACGGCAGAUAGAAAUUGCUUUAGCGAGGGUCAAGUCACUAUCGCGUAGCAGAGCCUUUCUUAUACUGUCGUUGUUGAUGCCACACACGAUUCUAUCACAAAUCAAUUCGUCUGUGAGCUCUGCAAAGUGGCAACUCUUUGCUUUUAUCUUCAAAUCACUGAUGAAAGAUUCAAUAGUCUCACCUUGCUUCUGAUUUCGAGUGUGAAACUUGUGCCUUUCCAUCGUCUUGUUGUGUUGUGGAUUGCACAUUUCUCGAAAUUUUCGUUUGAGACAUGUGGGUUCUUCCCGAGACUCGGCCGGGACCAUAACGGCUCAAUUUUCUCCUGGCGCUCUAACUCCCGCAGCGUAUACAAAUGAACGCUCCCGUUCAAUGGCUUCUGCUCCUGCAAGGUUGAGGAGGAUGUACGCUUUUGUCUUGGCAGGUUUAUCCGCGUGUGCAGCCUCGAUAAAAAUGUCAUAUUCACCUUCAAAAAUACGCCAACUCUCGGCAACGUCUCCUUCAAAAACAAGAGGGUCAGGCCUGCGAAAUCCUUCCGCCAUAGUCAGCCUUCACUUAAUUCCUUUCGCACUUCGGAGCACGGCGAAGAAAAAAACACCACUCAAUACACAGAGGGCAGGUCCGAGACGUCUUCUGACACCAUGUCGUUAUGUGCGUCGAAGCAAGCACCAUACGUUCAGAGGACAGCAGUUUAAUAAACUCACACGAGGAUUCAGAGAACAAAAUCUAUCACUUGGUUGCGUUACAUCCGGGGAGCGAGAGCAGCUUCUUCGUCUCAGCUACGGUAGCCGUGCGGGACAUUCCUUUAGCACAAUACACA